rnacentral:tRNA from 1 species
GGGGCCAUGGGGUAGUUUGGUAUCCUCUCUGGUUUGGGACCGGGUGACCGCAGUUCAAAUCUGCGUGGCCCCA